GAACUUAGCAGAGAUGCUUUGGUGCCUUCGGGAACUCUGAGACAGGUGCUGCAUGGCUGUCGUCAGCUCGUGUUGUGAAAGUGUUGGGUUAAGUCCCGCAACGAGCGCAACCCUUAUCCUUUGUUGCCAGCGGCUCGGCCGGGAACUCAAAGGAGACUGCCGGUGAUAAACCGGAGGAAGGUGGGGAUGACGUCAAGUCAUCAUGGCCCUUACGGCCAGGGCUACACACGUGCUACAAUGGCGCAUACAAAGAGAAGCGACCUCGCGAGAGCAAGCGGACCUCAUAAAGUGCGUCGUAGUCCGGAUUGGAGUCUGCAACUCGACUCCAUGAAGUCGGAAUCGCUAGUAAUCGUAGAUCAGAAUGCUACGGUGAAUACGUUCCCGGGCCUUGUACACACCGCCCGUCACACCAUGGGAGUGGGUUGCAAAAGAAGUAGGUAGCUUAACCUUCGGGAGGGCGCUUACCACUUUGUGAUUCAUGACUGGGGUGAAGUCGUAACAAGGUAAGCGUAGCGAG
rnacentral:rRNA from 1 species